UCAUGGAGAGACGAUGUGACAUGGAGAGAGACCGGAAGAUGCUGCGCUGCGGACUUUGAAAGUGGAGGAAGGGGCCACGGACCAAGGAAUCAGGCAGCAUUUUGAAGCGGCCAAAGAUGAGGAAACCACGACACAGAGAGAUUAAGUAACUAUCCCAAGAUUACACAGCAAGUAUCAGAGCUGGAAUCUGAACCCAGGAAGUUUGGCCCUAGAGCCUGCUCUGUCAUCCUGUCCCCUGGUCAUUUUCCAACACAGGAAUGUAAGAAGAGUUAUGGGACAUUAGAACUCGUAGGACCCUGAGAUUUCUAGUCCAACCCUCUCCUUUUAAAGAUGAAGUUACAGCCCAGAUAAUCCCUUUCAAUCCAAUUCAGCAAAUACUGAGCACCUACAAUGUGCACAGUGGAGUUUUCCAGAAACCACAUGACAUGUGACAUGGCAAGAGACUGAAAGCAGAAGUGGAUAUAAGAACCCAGCUCUCUUCUUCUAAGACAGGCAGUAAACAGAUUUGCAAAACAUGCUGCCCUUUAAAGUCAUUUUUUUUGUUUGUUUUACAAGUUUCACUAAAACAUUGUGUUAAUAUGGGUUUAUUAUUGCUGUUUUAAAUGAAUUAA